CCGGCCGUAGCAGGUGAUAGCCCUGUAGACGAAAUUUUGAGUGUGGAACUAAGCGUAAGAAAAGUAGGGCGGGACACGUGAAAUCCUGUUUGAAGAUGGGGGGACCAUCCUCCAAGGCUAAAUACUCGUGAUCGACCGAUAGUGAACCAGUACCGUGAGGGAAAGGCGAAAAGAACCCCGGAAGGGGAGUGAAAUAGAUCCUGAAACCGUAUGCAUACAAACAGUAGGAGCCUCCUUGUGGGGUGACUGCGUACCUUUUGUAUAAUGGGUCAGCGACUUACAUUCAGUGGCAAGGUUAACCGAAUAGGGAAGCCGUAGCGAAAGCGAGUCCGAAUAGGGCGAUUCAGUCGCUGGGUGUAGACCCGAAACCAGAUGAUCUAUCCAUGGCCAGGUUGAAGGCACGGUAACACGUGCUGGAGGACCGAACCCACUAAUGUUGAAAAAUUAGGGGAUGAGCUGUGGAUAGGGGUGAAAGGCUAAACAAAUCUGGAAAUAGCUGGUUCUCUCCGAAAACUAUUUAGGUAGUGCCUCAAGUAUUACUGCGGGGGGUAGAGCACUGUUAUAGCUAGGGGGUCAUGGCGACUUACCAAACUAUGGCAAACUCCGAAUACCCGCAAGUACAGCUUGGGAGACAGAGCACCGGGUGCUAACGUCCGGACUCAAGAGGGAAACAACCCAGACCGCCAGCUAAGGUCCCAAAUUAUCGCUAAGUGGGAAACGAAGUGGGAAGGCAUAGACAGUCAGGAGGUUGGCUUAGAAGCAGCCAUCCUUUAAAGAAAGCGUAAUAGCUCACUGAUCGAGUCGUCCUGCGCGGAAGAUGUAACGGGGCUAAGCGAUAAACCGAAGCUGCGGGUGUGCACUUUGUGCACGCGGUAGGAGAGCGUUCUGUAAGCCUGCGAAGGUGGCUUGUAAAGGCUGCUGGAGGUAUCAGAAGUGCGAAUGCUGACAUGAGUAGCGAUAAAGGGGGUGAAAAGCCCCCUCGCCGUAAGUCCAAGGUUUCCUGCGCAACGUUCAUCGGCGCAGGGUGAGUCGGCCCCUAAGGCGAGGCAGAGAUGCGUAGCUGAUGGGAAGCUGGUUAAUAUUCCAGCACCGUCGUACAGUGCGAUGGGGGGACGGAUCGCGGAAGAUCAUCAGGGUGUUGGAUGUCCCUGUUGCUGCAUCGAAGAUGGCGCUUAGGCAAAUCCGGGCGCGUAAAUCAAGGGUGUGGCACGAGCGAGCAUUGCUUGCGAAGUGAUUGGAAGUGGUUCCAAGAAAAGCCUCUAAGCUUCAGCUGUACGAGACCGUACCGCAAACCGACACAGGUGGACGGGAUGAAUAUUCCAAGGCGCUUGAGAGAACUCAGGAGAAGGAACUCGGCAAAUUGAUACCGUAACUUCGGGAGAAGGUAUACCCCGGUAGUGUGAAGCGCCUGCGCGCUUAGCAUGAUGGGGUCGCAGAGAAUCGGUGGCUGCGACUGUUUAUUAAAAACACAGCACUCUGCAAAGACGAAAGUCGACGUAUAGGGUGUGACGCCUGCCCGGUGCCGGAAGGUUAAGUGAUGGGGUGCAAGCUCUUGAUCGAAGCCCCGGUAAACGGCGGCCGUAACUAUAACGGUCCUAAGGUAGCGAAAUUCCUUGUCGGGUAAGUUCCGACCUGCACGAAUGGCGUAACGAUGGCCACACUGUCUCCUCCUGAGACUCAGCGAAGUUGA
rnacentral:rRNA from 1 species